UGUGACCAUGAAGAAUAUUGCUGAAGGAACUGGGCCGGGAAACAGACUGAGAAAAUCCAAAGUUAUUGACCAGAUGCAGACAGCUUAACUGAAAGAAGCAAGGGAGAUAAAGACAGGAAUCCGUGGUGGCUUGGCAGCACUCCUGGACACAGGUUGAUGAACUGCUACUAGAUGAACACCCAGAGGACACAGUGUUGCAUGAGUCGUCACAGCCACUUGUCCAUUUGUUGGUUCCUGUAUCCUGUUCCAGCUGGGUAACAGAAGAAGAAGCAACGAAAGGUAUUUAUUGAAGCAUACCAUUUCCCAGCCAACAAAUUUGACCUUUUCCUGAAGCUUUCCAGUGUUGAUUCUGAGAGGACUGCAAGGUGAUGGACAAAAUUGGAUCUAUCAUCAGAAAUACAUGCCCUUAAGAGACUGUUUAUCUUCAAAGAAUACAGAGAGAGAAGAUACCUAUAAAAUAUUGGAUUUUGGUGCUUCUGGCCACCAUCCUUCACCCCUGAGAAAAAUUCAGUGGGCCGGUCACCAAGCGAAUCUGAAAUAGAGUUAACUAUUGUGAAUAACAGCUUUACUUUUCCAAAUACUUUCUGAUGUCAACAAGUGGUGUACUGACCCAGUAGAAGAUCCAGAAGAAAUCCAAUCAUAGAUGCAUCAAUCAUACAAGAUUAACAACUACUAGUAAAUGUCUAAGGAAUUUUCUGCAAUUGUAUACACACUGAUUAGCAUGACCCCUUGAAAGAAUGCUACAUGGAAUGCUGCACCAAGUCAAAUUGGCGAUUUUAGAGACUAUCUUUCAUAGCUUUAUUUCAUAAUUGAUAACCCCCCUUCUCCUGCCCAUCUCAGCAUGCAAGUUGGAUUCAAAUUGUUGCCAAAUUGCAAAGAAUGAAGAACACACCCCCUACCCUACAUCUGAACCAAUGUUACAAAUAAAAAUAUUUUCACUGGUG